UACAGAGGGUGCGAGCGUUGUUCGGAAUUAAUGGGCGUAAAGCGCGUGUAGGCGGUUCAUUAAGUCAGAUGUGAAAUCCCGGGGCCUAACUCCGGAAGUGCAUUUGAAACUGAUGAGCUGGAGUGAUGUAGAGGAUGGCGGAAUACCCAGUGUAGUGGUGAAAUACGUAGAGAUUGGGUAGAACACCGGUGGCGAAGGCGGCCGGCUGGGGGCGCCCUGACGCUGAGGCGCGAGAGCGUGGGGAGCAAACCGG
rnacentral:rRNA from 1 species